UCACAGGGAUGAGCAAAGACAAUGGUUUCCUGAGAUGGAAUCUACUCCUAGUGUAGAUGCUUUGAA
rnacentral:pre_miRNA from 1 species